GCCAGAUGCCGUGGCGCGCGCCUGUAAUCCCAGCGGCUCUGGAGGCUGAGGCAGGAGGAUCACUAGUUCAAAGCCAGCCUCAGCAAGGGCGAGGCACUGAGCAACUCAGUGAGACCCUGUCUCUA
rnacentral:sRNA from 1 species